rnacentral:rRNA from 1 species
AGAGUUUGAUCCUGGCUCAGAUUGAACGCUGGCGGCAUGCUUUACACAUGCAAGUCGAACGGCAGCAUGGGGGCAACCCUGAUGGCGAGUGGCGAACGGGUGAGUAAUAUAUCGGAACGUACCCGAGAGUGGGGGACAACCAGUCGAAAGAUUGGCUAAUACCGCAUACGAUCUACGGAUGAAAGUGGGGGACCUUCGGGCCUCACGCUCCUGGAGCGGCCGAUAGCUGGAUUAGCUAGUUGGUGGGUAAAGGCCUACCAAGGCGAUGAUCAGUAGCUGGUCUGAGAGGACGAUCAGCCACACUGGGACUGAGACACGGCCCAGACUCCGUACGGGAGGCA